UUAUAAGUCACUUGCGUGUUUGGCAUUCAGCUUCCGUUAUAUUCCAAGUCAAACUCAAAUCACUACUAGAGGUGCUCGUUUGCUUCCUGGCUGCUGUUGAAGUGCUUUUGAGCAACACCGCAAACAUUCAAUUUUCGUAAUCGUGCAAAGGUGGCCUCACCUUGCCUUGCAGGUCGCCGGCGAGGGCUCGACUCUGAUUGGACGAAAGGCUGAGCAGGUCCUCGGUGAAGGUGAGGCCCGGUAGAC